CAAUAGCGUAUAUUAAAGUUGUUGCAGUUAAAAAGCUCGUAGUUGGAUUUCUGGUGGGAGCGAUCGGUCUGGCGCUUAGCGCGCGUACUUGCAUCGUCUCCGGCCAUCCUUGGGGAGAGUCUGUCUGGCAUUAAGUUGUCGGGCAGAGGAUCCUCAUCGUUUACUGUGAAAAAAUUAGAGUGUUCAAAGCAGGCUUAUGCCGUUGAAUAUAUUAGCAUGGAAUAAUAAGAUAGGACUUUGGUACUAUUUUGUUGGUUUGCGCACCAAAGUAAUGAUUAAUAGGGACAGUUGGGGGUAUUCGUAUUCCGUUGUCAGAGGUGAAAUUCUUGGAUUUACGGAAGACGAACUACUGCGAAAGCAUUUACCAAGGAUGUUUUCAUUAA
rnacentral:rRNA from 1 species